rnacentral:rRNA from 1 species
CCUACGGGAGGCAGCAGUGAGGAAUAUUGGUCAAUGGCCGCAGGGCUGAACCAGCCAAGUCGCGCGAGGGAUGACGGUCCUAUGGAUUGUAAACCUCUUUUGUCAGGGAGCAAAGGGCGCCACGUGUGGCGCUUUGCGAGUACCUGAAGAAAAAGCAUCGGCUAACUCCGUGCCAGCAGCCGCGGUAAUACGGAGGAUGCGAGCGUUAUCCGGAUUUAUUGGGUUUAAAGGGUGCGCAGGCGGAAUGUCAAGUCAGCGGUAAAAUUUCGGGGCUCAACCCCGUCGUGCCGUUGAAACUGGCGUUCUUGAGUGAGCGAGAAGUAUGCGGAAUGCGUGGUGUAGCGGUGAAAUGCAUAGAUAUCACGCAGAACUCCGAUUGCGAAGGCAGCAUACCGGCGCUCAACUGACGCUCAUGCACGAAAGCGUGGGUAUCGAACAGGAUUAGAUACCCCAGUAGUC